AGUGAACGCUGGCGGUAGGCCUAACACAUGCAAGUCGAACGGCAGCACAGUAAGAGCUUGCUCUUACGGGUGGCGAGUGGCGGACGGGUGAGGAAUACAUCGGAAUCUACUUUUUCGUGGGGGAUAACGUAGGGAAACUUACGCUAAUACCGCAUACGACCUACGGGUGAAAGCAGGGGAUCUUCGGACCUUGCGCGAUUGAAUGAGCCGAUGUCAGAUUAGCUAGUUGGCGGGGUAAAGGCCCACCAAGGCGACGAUCCGUAGCUGGUCUGAGAGGAUGAGGAGACACACUGGAAAUGAGACACGGUCGAGACUAAUACGGGAGGCAGAAGUGGGGAAUAUUGGGCAAUGGGAGCAAGCCUGAACCAGCUAUACCGCGUGAGUGAAGAAGGCAUUCGGAUAGUAAAACCCUGUUGUUGGGAAAGAAAAGCAGGAGGCGAAAAACCGGAUGUUCUGAGGGGACACAAAAAAUAAGAACAGGAUAACGUCGUG
rnacentral:rRNA from 1 species